rnacentral:rRNA from 1 species
GAUGAACGCUGGCGGCGUGCCUAACACAUGCAAGUCGAACGGAAUUUACAUGAAGCCUAGCGAUUGUAAAUUUAGUGGCGGACGGGUGAGUAACGCGUGGGUAACCUGCCUUGUACUGGGGGACAACAGUUGGAAACGACUGCUAAUACCGCAUAAGCGCACAGCUUCGCAUGAAGCAGUGUGAAAAACUCUGGUGGUACAAGAUGGACCCGCGUCUGAUUAGCUGGUUGGUGAGGUAACGGCCCACCAAGGCGACGAUCAGUAGCCGGACCGAGAGGUUGAACGGCCACAUUGGGACUGAGACACGGCCCAGACUCCUACGGGAGGCAGCAGUGGGGAAUAUUGCACAAUGGGCGCAAGCCUGAUGCAGCAACGCCGCGUGGAGGAAGACGGUUUUCGGAUUGUAAACUCCUGUUCUUAGUGAAGAAUAAUGACGGUAGCUAAGGAGCAAGCCACGGCUAACUACGUG